UAUCGACGCCAGCUAUCCUGAGGGAAACUUCGGACGGAACCAGCUACUAGAUGGUUCGAUUAGUCUUUCGCCCCUAUACCCAGUUCCGACGAUCGAUUUGCACGUCAGAAUCGCUACGGUCCUCCAUCAGGGUUUCCCCUGACUUCGACCUGACCAGGCAUAGUUCACCAUCUUUCGGGUCCCAGCAUCUGUGCUCAGAGCGCGCCUGCAUUCACGGAUUGGAAACGAGACGCCUCGGGAGUGCGAGAGAUCGAUCGAGACCGAAGCUCCAUCCUCCCUGAGCGUGCGCGCCGCGCGCGCGCCUUCACUUUCGUUGCGCCUUUCAGUUUUAUGUUUUAAAUAUCUCAAUGACUCGCACACAUGCUAGACUCCUUGGUCCGUGUUUCAAGACGGGUCCUGCGAGUGCCCGAAAAUGAAUCAUCGCAGACGGAUACGCGCACAGUCCGAGACAAAACACGGCAGCGACGACAGCAACGCCGCGUCGACGU